ensembl:lncRNA
GUACUGGAGUUUCAGCUUCAGCAUCAUUCCUUCCAAAGAAAUCCUAGGGCUGAUCUCCUUCAGAAUGGACUGGUUGGAUCUCCUUGCAGUCCAAGGGACUCUCAAGAGUCUUCUCCAACCUCCUGCUCAGUCUCUCAGUUAUGUUUUAUUCUUUUCGACCCCAUGGACUGUAGCCCACCAGGCUCCUCUGUCCUUAAAAUUCUCCAGGAAAGAAUACUGGAGUGAGUUCACUCCCUUCUCCAGCAGAUCUUCCCCACCUGGGGGCUGAACCCGUGUCUCUUGCAUUGCAGGUGGAUUCUUUACCAGUGUACCACGUGGUAAGCCCCAUGGCCGAUCCCCACCUCCACCCAAUCAAAGUGCUUAUUAGGUGAUUUUCAGCACAAUGGAAUAGUCAUAUAGAAAUACGUUAGGCCUAUUGCCACUUGGGUUUAACCUGACAAGGAAGGCCGUCUUUCUGAUUUGCUCACCCUAUAUAUUGAUUGAUAAAGUCCCAAUACUAAGAGCUAACAUUUGUACAGCACUUCUCAUUUUAAAAAAGUCUAUAGAUGAUGUCAUUUGACCUUUGCUGUAACUCUUCGAGAUCUGAUAUUUGACUUCAAAGAUGCCCGUUAACACCUUCACUCCGCCCUUAGCUUGAGCUACAGGCUUGGUGACCAGCAGGUGAAGAGCAGGAUGACUGGAAAGAGGUGGUCAGCAAGAUAGCUGGUGGGGCAAGUCACAAUGGAUUGGAGUCUGUUUCUUGGCCUGUACCAUGGAGCUGCUGCUGCUGCUGAGUUGCUUCAGUCGUGUCCGACUCAGUGUGACCCCAUAGACGGCAGCAUCAAGCCCCCUCCCUGGUCCUACACUUCAUGCUCCCUGUGGGCGUGUGCUUCAUACAAGCAUUGGUGCCGAUCAUGCUGGGCUAAGCUUGGCGACAAGGCACGUUCCUGCUUCCGCACAAUGACCACUCCUGCGGGCAGUGCAGCGUUGGGGGGCUCCUCUGAGGCACAGACAGAUGGAGGAAGAGGUCUGAGUUUUUAUUUCUGGCAUAGAUCUCCACAUUUAUGAAUCAGCUCUUGCUGAUUCACUUAGUGUGUUCACUAAGUGUGCCUCAAUCAGCUGGUGGCCUCAGAUAACCCUGUUCUUGAUGGUAAUGAGGCCACCCUGCGUUUUCUCUGUGAAUCACUGAGAUCCCAAACCAUCCAACAUCUGCAGAGCUUGAGCUGACAAGGCACUGCCUCCCCCGUUCCUCAUCUUUUCCAGAGCAAAACCCAAUUUGCCAUUGACUCUGCUCAUCAACUUUUGGAGAUAUCCAUAGGAGUGCUUGUUCCUAGAGAGCAAGUUUCAUGCUUUGCAGUAUCUUUCUCUCACACUCUUUAAUGGUGUUGAUAACAGGGAUUGAGUUCAAGCCUGUGUAAAAAGCGCUUACCAGGGCUCCGUUGGGUGCCAGGCCCUGAGGAUGGAGCACAGAGUGGCAGGUGCAGGUCUGGGCUCCUCUGAGCAGCGGGUGCCCAGGCCCGACCUCUAUGCUGGGUUCCCCCACCCCCCUAACUCUAGUCACAUUGUGGACAAAUCCUAUAACCUCAUUGGCUUCCAGCCUUGCCCUCUGAAAAAUUAGAGGGUGGGCCAUAAUGUGCAUGCAUGCUAAGUCGCUUCAGUCGUAUCCGACUCUGUGUGACCCCAUGGACUGUAGCCCGUGAGGGUCCUUUGCCCAUGGGAUUCUCCAGGCAAGAAUACUGGAAUGGGUUGCCAUGCCUUCCUUCAAGGGGUCUUCCUGAUCCAGGGAUGGAACUCGUGUCCCUUACGUCUCCUGCACUGGUAGGUGGGUGGGUUCUUUAUCACUGGCACUACCUGGGUAGCCUGGGCCAUCCCAUCUAUAAAGUGAGCCAUCUAUAAAGGCUCAGGAUUCUCAAUUUUUAAAUCUCGUGUCGAAUUAUUUAUGAAAUAGAUAAAAUCCCCUCCCCCCACUGCCCUUUAGUCCGAUAGGUCUAUAAACAAGUGUUUAGGACACGUUAAGGCAGAUUGAAAUUUUGUCAAAAAUAUGAACCCAGGCCUCCCACACUGCAGAUGGAUUCUUUACCAGCUGAGCCACCAGGGAAGCCCAAGAAUACUGGAGUGGGUAGCCUAUCCCUUCUCCAGGGGAUCUUCCCGAUCCAGCAAUUAAACCAGGGUCUCCUGCAUUGCAGUGGAUUCUUUACCAACUGAGCUACCAGGGAAGCCCCUGCAUGUGACAAAACUUGGGAGUAAAUAGUCACCGGAGCUAAUCAAUUUUCUUUUAUAAAUACUUCAACUACUGAUUCUGUAUGAUAUAAAUGCAAUAUCAGCCAGUUUCUAUGAAUUUACAGUUAAUGUCAUUAAUAGACAUGGGUAUAUUUAGCAGAUGAUUAUAUUUAGGAGUUGACUGUCUUAUGAUUAUGCCGAACAAGGUGUCACAUUGCUCUCAUUAUCUUAUGAAAGAAAGCUUCCUAAUAGAAACAGAAUCAUUGACUUAGAGAAUGAACAUACAGUUACCAGAGGGAAGGGUGUGGAGAGAAGGAGAGACUGGGAAUUUGGGAUUGACAUGUCCACCUGCUAUAUUUAAGAUGGAUAAUCAUCAAGGACUUACUGAAUAGCACAGGGAACUCUGUUCAAUAUUCUGUAAUAACCAUUCUGCUUCCCAGGGGCACUAGUAGUUAAGAACCUCCCUGCCAAAGCAGGAGAUGGAAGAGAUGUGGGUUUGAUCCCUGGGUCCAGAACAUCCCCUGGAGGAGGUUAUGGCAACCCACUCUAGCAUUCUUGCCUAGAGAAUCCCACAAACAGAGGAGCCUGGUGGGCUAUAGUCCACAGGUUGCAAAAAGUUGGAGAUGACUGAAGCAACUUGACACACACAAAUGUUCUUCACAGCGCCUGGAACAGGGC